GCAGACAUUUGUCCUUGCAGGGAUAGAAGAGAAAGCAGGAUUGUCCCUCAGGCUCACCGGGGUCAGGAUCAGCUUUCGGCCUGCACCCAGGAAUCCCCUCAGGCCCGAGCAGGGCCUGCCUGAGCCCCCGCACAUCCAGUUCCAGUUUAGGCUGCUCGGGCCCCGAUUUCUGAGGGAGCUCUCCCCGCUGUUCCUGCAGCUUCAGCUGUGGGAAAAGGACCGGGGUGGCUUUUCCCGACGUGGGAACCCUGAGGUCCCGCGGGGCUCCGCAGCCCGGGCAGCUGCCGCUGUCACUCGCGUCUCAGCGGGGGCCGCGGCACCUCCGUGACACUUCACUCCUGAAACAACAGCAGCCAUCCCUCCCGCUAAACCCCGUUUGUUGGCUGAGGCAGCCACCUUUAACCUUCGUAAAGUCAACAUCUCUGCGGUCAAGCACUGAAAAACGCAUGGGAAAAAUGGCACGGAUGGAGGAAUUUCACUGGUUUUGGAACACUGUAAGAUAUGCAGCCCAUGAGAAGUGAAUUUACUGUCAGCUUCUGUCCUGGAAAUAGAGGUCCUGAGGGAUGGAGGUUUUGAGAGCAGAGGUUAUGUGCUGGCCUCCCUCGAGGUGCUUCUCUGUAGCCUAAGCCUUGAACCAAAUUUUCAUUGCUGCAUUACCUGAUGAUCUGUCCUCCACGAGGUUCCAAGGCUACAGAAAACUGUUCCUGAUGUGCAGCAUAUGGAUCUUUGCAUACAGAAAGGGACAUAAAUAGCUGCCCAGUCCUGGGAGCAAGAUAAGAUGCAAUUCUUUGAACUGCAGGAAGGACAACACGAGUGAGUGACAGCAGCAAACCCGUGAGACUGGGGGAGACAACUUUAAUUUAUUUGUACAGCAUGCACAUGGAAGGGUCCUUCCCUCCUGUUUGGGUAAUGAUAAAUGACAAGAUGUCGACAGUUAUUAAUUAAACUGCCUGGCAUAGCAAUGUACAUGAUGAUAAGACCUAAGAAAUGUGUAGCAUUCCUCCUACCCCAUCAUGAGAAUGAGGCCCCUCCACUGUUCUCUGGCACAGCAGAGAUUAGACUAAAGCAUCAAUAUUCCACUACAAGCUGGCUACCUAGUAACUGCCUGAACACAGGGCCCUAAAAAUUGAAAUUCUCCCUCAUGUGAUGUGUAGUAAUUAAACUUCAGCAUUCUUUCUGCAGGAAAUGUUUCUCCUGUGUUGUUCCCACAGAUUGUGCUACAACAACAAUUUUAGCCCCAUGAACUAUUAACCAAUUAUGAAGGGAUUUUCUCAGUCUGCUUUAACUGAGGAUCAAAGACAAAACCCAAUUUCUUUUCUUGCCAGUUAUUGUAAUUUAAGAUGCAAAACCAAGCAUGCACAGGACUCAAGGCUUUAGUCAGUCAAACAAAAUGGACUUUGUAACUCAGAUCCAUUUAAACUUUUCUGAUUUGCCUUGCUAAUAUUCCACCUGCUUUUCUUCCUUAACAAAUACAUUGCCACACAAUUGCAAUACAUUUAUUCUAUUCUACUUCCAUUUAUUUCUUUCACAUCCAUAUCUUUUAUGUAUGUGCUACUUGGAGCUAAGUGUGUCUGUAUACUGCCCAGUAACUCAGAGUGAAAUUUUUAAAAAUUAACUAAUUUUAAAUUGCCAUGGGCUGCAGAUAUGAAGAAUCCUUCUGUUAUUACUGCUAAAUGUUUUUAUUCUGGCUGAUUUGUAUGGCUUUUUUGGCCUUUCUUACAUAGAAGAUCUUUUUUUAAACUACAGAAAUGCAAUCUGGGUGAUUGUCCUUUAAAUACUGUCUUAGG